rnacentral:rRNA from 1 species
UACGGAGGGAGCUAGCGUUGUUCGGAAUUACUGGGCGUAAAGCGCGCGUAGGCGGCUUUGUAAGUUAGAGGUGAAAGCCCGGAGCUCAACUCCGGAACUGCCUUUAAAACUGCAUCGCUUGAAUCCAGGAGAGGUGAGUGGAAUUCCGAGUGUAGAGGUGAAAUUCGCAGAUAUUCGGAAGAACACCAGUGGCGAAGGCGGCUCACUGGACUGGUAUUGACGCUGAGGUGCGAAAGCGUGGGGAGCAAACAGG